ACGCUCGACACCUACGGGGGGCAGCAGUGGGGGAUAUUGCACAAUGGGGGAAACCCUGAUGCAGCGACGCCGCGUGAAGGAAGAAGGCCUUCGGGUUGUAAACUUCUGUCGUACGGGACGAUAAUGACGGUACCGUACAAGAAAGCCACGGCUAACUACGUGCCAUCAGCCGCGGUAAUCUGAGCGGGCUGGCAAGGC
rnacentral:rRNA from 1 species